rnacentral:tRNA from 2 species
GGGGAAAUAGCUCAGUCGGUUAGAGUGCUGGUCUGUCACGCCAGAAGUCGCGGGUUCGACCCCCGUUUUCCCCG